rnacentral:rRNA from 1 species
AGCGAACGCUGGCGGCAGGCCUAACACAUGCAAGUCGAACGAACUCUUCGGAGUUAGUGGCGGGCGGGUGAGUAACACGUGGGAACGUGCCUUUUGGUUCGGAAUAACUCAGGGAAACUUGUGCUAAUACCGAAUGUGCCCUUCGGGGGAAAGAUUUAUCGCCAUUAGAGCGGCCCGCGUCUGAUUAGCUAGUUGGUGAGGUAACGGCUCACCAAGGCGACGAUCAGUAGCUGGGCUGAGAGGAUGACCAGCCACACUGGGACUGAGACGCGGCCCAGACUCCUACGGGAGGCAGCAGUGGGGAAUCUUGCGCAAUGGGCGGAAGCCUGACGCAGCCAUGCCGCGUGAAUGAUGAAGGUCGUAGGAUUGUAAAAUUCUUUCACCGGGGACGAUAAUGACGGUACCCGGAGAAGAAGCCCCGGCUAACUUCGUG